rnacentral:rRNA from 1 species
AGAGUUUGAUCCUGGCUCAGAACGUACGCUGGCGGCACGCCUAAUACAUGCAAGUCGAACGAAGUAGCAAUACUUAGUGGCAGACGGGUGAGUAACAUGUGGGUAUCUUCCCUUUGGUGAGGAAUAACACGAGGAAACUUGUGCUAAUACCUCAUAAGUCUUUACGGAGAAAGCUUUAUGCGCCAUUGGAUGAGCCCGCACUUGAUUAGUUUGUUGGUGGGGUAAUGGCCUACCAAGACUUUGAUCAAUAGCUGAUUUGAGAGGAUGAUCAGCCACAUUGGGACUGAGACACGGCCCAAACUCCUACGGGAGGCAGCAGUAGGGAAUCUUGCACAAUGGAGGAAACUCUGAUGCAGCGAUGCCGCGUGAGUGAAGAAGGCCUUUGGGUUGUAAAGCUCUUUCGUCGGGGAAGAAAAUGACUGUACCCGAAUAAGAAGGUCCGGCUAACUUCGUGCCAGCAGCCGCGGUAAUACGAAGGGACCUAGCGUAGUUCGGAAUUACUGGGCUUAAAGAGUUCGUAGGUGGUUAAAAAAGUUGGUGGUGAAAGCCCAGAGCUUAACUCUGGAACUGCCAUCAAAACUUUUUAGCUAGAGUAUGAUAGAGGAAAGCAGAAUUUCUAGUGUAGAGGUGAAAUUCGUAGAUAUUAGAAAGAAUACCAAUUGCGAAGGCAGCUUUCUGGAUCAUUACUGACACUGAGGAACGAAAGCAUGGGUAGCGAAGAGGAUUAGAUACCCUCGUAGUCCAUGCCGUAAACGAUGUGUGUUAGAUGUUGGAAAUUUAUUUUCAGUAUCGCAGCGAAAGCGAUAAACACACCGCCUGGGGAGUACGACCGCAAGGUUAAAACUCAAAUGAAUUGACGGGGACCCGCACAAGUAGUGGAGCAUGUGGUUUAAUUCGAAGAUACGCGCAGAACCUUACCAACACUUGACAUGUUCGUCGCGACUCUAAGAGAUUAGAGUUUUCGGUUCGGCCGGACGAAACACAGGUGCUGCAUGGCUGUCGUCAGCUCGUGUCGUGAGAUGUUGGGUUAAGUCCCGCAACGAGCGCAACCCUUACUUUUAGUUGCCAUCAUUUAGUUGGGCACUCUGAAAGAACUGCCAGUGAUAAGCUGGAGGAAGGUGGGGAUGACGUCAAGUCCUCAUGGCCCUUACGUGUUGGGCUACACACGUGCUACAAUGGCAUUUACAAUAGGAAGCAAGACGGCGACGUUAAGCAAAUCCUAAAAAAAUGCCUCAGUUCGGAUUGUACUCUGCAACUCGAGUACAUGAAGCUGGAAUUACUAGUAAUCGCGGAUCAGCGCGCCGCGGUGAAUGCGUUCCCGGGUCUUGUACACACCGCCCGUCACACCAUGGGAGUUGGUUCUACCUUAAGGCAAAGCUUAAAACCUUUGACCACGGUAUAGUCAGCGACUGGGGUGAAGUCGUAACAAGGUAACC